rnacentral:piRNA from 1 species
UCCCAAGCCCGAUCCACUAAAGUGCCU